GUCGGCGUCAGGACGAACGCUGGCGGCGUGCUUAACACAUGCAAGUCGAACGGUAAGGCCCUUCGGGGUACACGAGUGGCGAACGGGUGAGUAACACGUGGGUGAUCUGCCCUGCACUUCGGGAUAAGCCUGGGAAACUGGGUCUAAUACCGGAUAGGACCAUGGACUUCACGGUUUGUGGUGGAAAGCUUUUGCGGUGUGGGAUGGGCCCGCGGCCUAUCAGCUUGUUGGUGGGGUAAUGGCCUACCAAGGCGACGACGGGUAGCCGGCCUGAGAGGGUGUCCGGCCACACUGGGACUGAGAUACGGCCCAGACUCCUACGGGAGGCAGCAGUGGGGAAUAUUGCACAAUGGGCGCAAGCCUGAUGCAGCGACGCCGCGUGAGGGAUGACGGCCUUCGGGUUGUAAACCUCUUUCAACAGGGACGAAGCGCAAGUGACGGUACCUAUAGAAGAAGCACCGGCCAACUACGUG
rnacentral:rRNA from 1 species